AGCUGACUGUGAUGUUUAUAGCGUUACACGAGGAAGAAGAAAUAAUAUUUAAAAAAGAUUUUUGAAGAAAUACUGUAGAAGACAUUUUUAUAAAGCUGUUGUUUGAUCAGACAUUGUCAAAGCAAUUUUUGAAGAAAUACUGUAGAAGACAUUUUUAUAAAGCUGUUGUUUGAUCAGACAUUGUCAAAGCAAUUUUUGAAGAAGUACUGUAGAAGACAUUGUCAAAGCACAUUUGGAAUUAAGCCUAGUUGGUUCACAUCCAUAGCUGGUUUCUAUACUUUACCAAUAGAGUGAUGCCACGUAAAUCAAAUAAGAGCAAAGCCUCCAAAGCCAAAGAACAAAAACUAAGAAUGAGAGAAAGAAGGUUGGCAGAGGAGGCUUUGC